AUCGUACGAUUCGUCACGUCAACGCGCCUUGUUUUGAUUGCGAACAGCUGACAGCGAAGUGUCGACAUUUUCAUAUGAUGCAUGGCUUGCAAAACUUCGAUAGUGGAAAAUGCAUCUCAACUAUCGUUUGGGAGAUUAUUAAGCCUAAAACAGACUCUUGUUACAACAUGGCGGACACAUGGCUUUUACCUGUUGAUUCUUGUGGUUUCAGCUCUUGAGGUUAACCUCUCACCCCUACCCACAUGCAUAUUCCUUGUGUUCAACAGACUUUUUACCAGUACAUGUAAUUCAUAUUAAAUCGGAUAAUGCAUGAACAAAAAUGAAACUUUAAGAAAGCAUCAUGCCUUGUUAGGUUUUUGUUGAUAAGAAAUUUAUUAAUGACAAACAAAGUUAAAGCUGUUAAAGGACAUUUACAUUUUUUACAGUAGUUGUGAAGUUUUGUUUUUCAAUAAAAGUCUGCAAUCAUG